GAUUAGUGGCGAACGGGUGAGUAACACGUGGGUAAUCUGCCCUGCACUCUGGGAUAAGCCUUGGAAACGAGGUCUAAUACCGGAUAUGACACACGGAGGCAUCUCCUGUGUGUGGAAAGUUCCGGCGGUGCAGGAUGAACCCGCGGCCUAUCAGCUUGUUGGUGGGGUAGUGGCCUACCAAGGCGACGACGGGUAGCCGGCCUGAGAGGGUGACCGGCCACACUGGGACUGAGACACGGCCCAGACUCCUACGGGAGGCAGCAGUGGGGAAUCUUGCGCAAUGGGCGAAAGCCUGACGCAGCAACGCCGCGUGGGGGAUGACGGCCUUCGGGUUGUAAACCUCUUUCGACAGGGACGAAGCUUUCGGGUGACGGUACCUGUAGAAGAAGCACCGGCUAACUACGUGCCAGCAGCCGCGGUAAUACGUAGGGUGCGAGCGUUGUCCGGAUUUAUUGGGCGUAAAGAGCUCGUAGGCGGUUUGUCGCGUCGGCCGUGAAAACCUGCAGCUUAACUGUGGGCGUGCGGUCGAUACGGGCAGACUUGAGUUCGGCAGGGGAGACUGGAAUUCCUGGUGUAGCGGUGAAAUGCGCAGAUAUCAGGAGGAACACCGGUGGCGAAGGCGGGUCUCUGGGCCGAUACUGACGCUGAGGAGCGAAAGCAUGGGGAGCGAACAGGAUUAGAUACCCUGGUAGUCCAUGCC
rnacentral:rRNA from 1 species